ensembl:lncRNA
GUAACAGGCUGCCUCCUGGGAGGGCGGGGUCCUGGGCGGGGCCUGGCAUGACUGACGGCUGGGGCGGGACCGCGGGCCCGAGCCCGGCGCACUGGUGACUAAAUCGGAUCACCACACGGCAAACGUAUUGUCGAGAAAGACGUCACGUAAUGGUCAAGUCCUUGCUCCUAUUUAGAACGUCCUAUGCUCUUGUUAAACAGGUAACUUCUGAUGAUAGAAAUCAUGUCUUCACCGUGGAGUGGCCACCGUUACUCCCGGUGGACUCCGAAUUCGUUUUUCUAACACGUUUUGCUUCGCUCCUCUGUGGCCUUCCCCGGUGUUAACUGCUUUUCCUUUGGCGAGAUCUCUCAGCGCUGUGCUCAGCCUCUGGACUCUGCUGUGCGCCCGUGGGGAAAGCCGCAGCCAGAACCCGGCUGCAGCACAGUGCACUUAGCCCAGGCGCCAGCGGCAGCGCAGCCGUCUACGUCUGCCGCCAGCCGCGUGAGUCCGCAGAGCGAGACUCAUAUGCUCCGGGAGAGCCAGCGAGCACAGGCGCAAGGCCUCACCCGGAGAGUAGAGGACCGGAAACGCCACCAGUCCGCCCCCUCUUAGGACCAGGAGGGACGGAGGCGUUCUGUUUCCGAAGGAGCCUCACAGGCCUGGCGCACCUGGGACAGGAGGGAAGGGCCUGUCCUGCACUCCACUCUGGGAGUGGAGCCAGGGAUAAAUCCUGUGCCUGGAGCAGCCCAGAGGAACUGGCCAGACCUCCUGUUCAUUCAUUGUGAGCCUCCCAAGCGCUGAGAUCACAGGUGUGCCCUGCCACAUCCGGCAAAGCUGGACAUUCUUAAUCAGGAUCAGAAUCCGUGUGAAGACUCUGGGCUGAGGCCUCCAGCCUGCCACGUCUCUCUCCUCAUCAUCAUUACUUGACGCUUGAGCCCAGGCCUGCGCCCAGACCACAUUUAAUCCACAGGCCGAGUUCCAAGUGAUGUCACAUGAAGACGGAAAUUCACAAGGUGCUCGCUCCAUUUCAGAGAAAGGGACAGCUGUAAACCAAGAUGCUGAUUCAAAAGAACAUCAAGAUUCUACCAUUCUACUUAAAGUCUGGUAUCUUACUUUUGAGCUGUUAAAAAAACAAUUUUCAAAUUGGGUGUGGUGGUGUAGGACUGUAAUCCCAGCCCUCAGAAGGCUAAGGCAGGAGGAUCAUUGCUAGUUCAAGGCCAGCAAAAUGAAAGAGAGAGAUCCUAUCUCAGAAACACAAAGUAAUUAGCACAAAUACCCUUCAGGUUCAAAAGUAGACAAAAACGAGGAGGACCUGUGUUGUACUCAGACUGCUCUCAGAUGCGGAUGGAGGGGGCAAGGCGAUUAAUUUGUCAGGAACAGAGGUUUAUUUUGGCUCCUGUGGCCCUGGGCUUUGGGCCUCUGUGGGAGGUGACCUGGCAGAGCAGGGUGUGCACGGUGAGCAGCUCCCAUGGGGCGCAGGAAGCAGGAGGGAUGGGCAUCUGACCUGGGUGACCUGCAGUCCUCCCAGGUCC